UGGCUUGAAGCUCUUCCAAUUCUUUCUUGAAUCUCCUCAAUAAUUCUCUACAGAACAAGAUGAAACUGAUUAUGGCUGGAGGAGUGCUAUCUUCUUUCAAUUCUGCAACUGCAUCCCUCAAUUUUCACGGCAUGUCCUCAGCUGCCCAAUUACAAAAUUCCACCAAUCCAUUGAGCUUUACACGGUACUUAUCCCUACCCCCUUGCAAAAAGUCAAUGGUCUUCUUAAAGGAUUUGUAAUCUUCGACCAUGUACUCUCUUUCUU
rnacentral:lncRNA from 1 species